GACGGGUAUCCGGCCUGAGAGGGUGAUCGGACACACUGGAACUGAGACACGGUCCAGACUCCUACGGGAGGCAGCAGUAGGGAAUAUUGCUCAAUGGGGGAAACCCUGAAGCAGCAACGCCGCGUGGAGGAUGAAGGUUUUCGGAUUGUAAACUCCUUUUGUUAGAGAAGAUAAUGACGGUAUCUAACGAAUAAGCACCGGCUAACUCCGUGCCAGCAGCCGCGGUAAUACAGAGGGUGCAAGCGUUACUCGGAAUCACUGGGCGUAAAGAGCGCGUAGGCGGGGUAGCAAGUCAGAUGUGAAAUCCUAUGGCUUAACCAUAGAACUGCAUUUGAAACUGUUACUCUA
rnacentral:rRNA from 1 species